rnacentral:rRNA from 1 species
UCCAAUACCAACAUUAGUGCGCGAUGGAAGGACGCUUAGGGCUAAGGGGGCUAGCGGAUGGAAGUGCUAGUCUAAGGUCGUAGGAGGUUAUACAGGCAAAUCCGUAUAACAAUACUCCGAGAACUGAAAGGCUUUUUGAAGUCUUCGGAUGGAUAGAAGAACCCCUGAUGCCGUCGAGCCAAGAAAAGUUUCUAAGUUUAGCUAAUGUUGCCCGUACCGUAAACCGACACAGGUGGGUGGGAUGAGUAUUCUAAGGCGCGUGGAAGAACUCUCUUUAAGGAACUCUGCAAAAUAGCACCGUAUCUUCGGUAUAAGGUGUGGUUAGCUUUGUAUUAGGAUUUACUCCGAAAGCAAGGAAACUUACAACAAAGAGUCCCUCCCGACUGUUUACCAAAAACACAGCACUCUGCUAACUCGUAAGAGGAUGUAUAGGGUGUGACGCCUGCCCGGUGCUCGAAGGUUAAUUGAUGGGGUUAGCAUUAGCGAAGCUCUUGAUCGAAGCCCGAGUAAACGGCGGCCGUAACUAUAACGGUCCUAAGGUAGCGAAAUUCCUUGUCGGUUAAAUACCGACCUGCAUGAAUGGCGUAACGAGAUGGGAGCUGUCUCAAAGAGGGAUCCAGUGAAAUUGUAGUGGAGGUGAAAAUUCCUCCUACCCGCGGCAAGACGGAAAGACCCCGUGGACCUUUACUACAGCUUGACACUGCUACUUGGAUAAGAAUGUGCAGGAUAGGUGGGAGGCUUUGAGUAUAUGACGCCAGUUGUAUAUGAGCCAUUGUUGAGAUACCACUCUUUCUUAUUUGGGUAGCUAACCAGCUUGAGUUAUCCUCAAGUGGGACAAUGUCUGGUGGGUAGUUUGACUGGGGCGGUCGCCUCCCAAAUAAUAACGGAGGCUUACAAAGGUUGGCUCAGAACGGUUGGAAAUCGUUCGUAGAGUAUAAAGGUAUAAGCCAGCUUAACUGCAAGACAUACAAGUCAAGCAGAGACGAAAGUCGGUCUUAGUGAUCCGGUGGUUCUGUGUGGAAGGGCCAUCGCUCAAAGGAUAAAAGGUACCCCGGGGAUAACAGGCUGAUCUCCCCCAAGAGCUCACAUCGACGGGGAGGUUUGGCACCUCGAUGUCGGCUCAUCGCAUCCUGGGGCUGGAGCAGGUCCCAAGGGUAUGGCUGUUCGCCAUUUAAAGCGGUACGCGAGCUGGGUUCAGAACGUCGUGAGACAGUUCGGUCCCUAUCUGCCGUGGGCGUAAGAAGAUUGAAGAGAUUUGACCCUAGUACGAGAGGACCGGGUUGAACAAACCACUGGUGUAGCUGUUGUUCUGCCAAGAGCAUCGCAGCGUAGCUAAGUUUGGAAAGGAUAAACGCUGAAAGCAUCUAAGCGUGAAGCCAACUCUAAGAUGAAUCUUCUCUAAGCUCUCUAGAAGACUACUAGUUUGAUAGGCUGGGUGUGUAAUGGAUGAAAGUCCUUUAGCUGACCAGUACUAAUAGAGCGUUUGGCUUAUCUUUAAUAAAGCAU